GAUGAACGCUGGCGGCGUGCCUAAUACAUGCAAGUCGAGCGAACAGAUGAGGAGCUUGCUCCUCUGACGUUAGCAGCGGACGGGUGAGUAACACGUGGAUAACCUACCUAUAAGACUGGGAUAACUUCGGGAAACCGGAGCUAAUACCGGAUAAUAUAUUGAACCGCAUGGUUCAAUAGUGAAAGACGGUUUUGCUGUCACUUAUAGAUGGAUCCGCGCCGCAUUAGCUAGUUGGUAAGGUAACGGCUUACCAAGGCAACGAUGCGUAGCCGACCUGAGAGGGUGAUCGGCCACACUGGAACUGAGACACGGUCCAGACUCCUACGGGAGGCAGCAGUAGGGAAUCUUCCGCAAUGGGCGAAAGCCUGACGGAGCAACGCCGCGUGAGUGAUGAAGGUCUUCGGAUCGUAAAACUCUGUUAUUAGGGAAGAACAAAUGUGUAAGUAACUAUGCACGUCUGGACGGUACCUAAGCAGAAAGCCACGGCUAACUACGG
rnacentral:rRNA from 1 species